CCAGGUGCUGGCUGGACAACCCCUUCUGGCUGCCUAAGCAGAUGGCAGAAGAAGGAAACAAGGUCAGAGGCAGAGUGUUGAACCCUGCCUCCCAGCCCCCACAUCACCCAACCAACCAGCAGAGAUCCUCCUUCCCAAGAAACAGAUAAAGAAACUGAGGCCCAGGAAGGCUAAGAGUCCUGCCAGGAUUAUUCACCUUUCAAGCAAGGCAAAGUACUCCAGGCCAUGGGGAGUCCCUGAAGACUCGAUGAACUGCAGUGGCCACAUCAGGAGGUUGCAGGUUAACCAGAACUCACCGACACAGCAGGAGAGCAGCUUGGAACCUGCAACCUAGCCAAAACCUAGUGCCUUGGAUUGGGGGAGAAAACAUGCAGCCAUUCCUCUCUCUCUGCUGGCUAGAGGGGAUUCUGGCUUUUCCUGCCAGAGCCACCCCUUUCCCUCCUCCUAAAGUUGAUGGUGGUUCUUUAAGGAAAGGGAGAAGUGCACGGUGUGAUAGGGCAGGAAGAGAAGAAAACGGAGGAGAGGAGGGGACUUUCCCAUAAGCAGGCAGAAGAAAAGGCAGCUGUGGUGUGUGAUGGACAUGGAUGCAGUGGUGUCCAAUGUGGGGUCAGCCCUAGAGGAGAGACAGAGAGAGAGACAGAAAAGUGAGAGAGUCCUGACCCUUAUGAUUAACAUGGGAUCUGCCUGCAAAUGCUGUUUAGGGUCAUCGCCUCUUCCUGUACCACUAUUUUUGAGAGUGAUGCUCCUGAGCCCCACGACCCAGUCAAAUUUGAUGUCCCCUUGAGCCAGAUUCAGUGCUGGGAGUCCAGUGUGAUCUGCCUGGAUCUUGCUGCAUUGAGAACAGGCCAGAUCUUGACCCCAAUACAGGGGCUGGAUAUGAACAGGCAACAGCUGAGUUUCUGAGUCAGAAAGACUUGGUUAAUUGCUAAUUGCUUAGGCAAGUAAUUUAAUUUUGUUGCAUCAGAUUCCUCAGCUACAAAAUGCACAUGACAGUACUUAUUCCUCCAGGUUGUGGGGAAAAUGGAGAUUCUAAGCACGAUGUCCAUUUCACAGAAAGAUACCAAUUUGGUGGCUUAUUUCCUUUCUACCUUCAGAAGUGGCUA